rnacentral:lncRNA from 1 species
UGGGGACAUUUUUGGGAUUUUUUGGGGAUUUUUUUGGGAUUUUUUGGGGAUUUUUUUUGGGAUUUUUUGGGAUUUUUUUGGGUUUUUUGGGGAUUUUUUGGGAAUAUUUUGGGGACAUUUAGGGAUAAUUUGGGGACAAUUUGGGGACAAUUUUGGGAAUUUUUUGGAAUUUUUUUGGGGAUUUUUUUGAGAUUUUUUUGGGGAUUUUUUGGGGGAUUUUUUGGGAUUCUUUUGAGGACUUUUUUGGACUUUUUUUGAAUUUUGGGAUUUUUUGGGGGAUUUUUUUGGAUUUUUUUGAGAUUUUUUGGGGAUUUUUUGGGGACAAUUUGGGGACAAUUUGGGGACAAUUUGGGGACAAUAUUGGGAAUUUUUUGGGAUUUUUUGAGGAUUUUUUUGAGAUUUUUUUGGGAUUUUUUGGGGGAUUUUUUGGGGACAUUUGGGGACAAGAACA